CCCCGUUUAGCUCAGUUGGUAGAGCGCUCCACUGGGAAAGGGGAGGUUCCUGGUUCGAUACCCGGACCAGGCG
rnacentral:tRNA from 1 species